GGCGUGGCCAAGUGGUAAGGCAACGGGUUUUGGCCCUGUUAUUCGGAGGUUCGAAUCCUUCCG
rnacentral:tRNA from 1 species